AUCGGAAAAGUCAUGGCCGAGUCACUGGAAUGGCAAUGCCAAGAACUGAAUAAUUUGUUCAGGCAAUUAAAAAUAGCAUCAUGAAUUUUGUCGCACACAAACUCAUGCAUGCUGACUCGGCGAAUACUUAAUCCUAAGGGUCAGACUGCAGGGUCUAAGACAAUAGUCCGUUUUUGCAACAGACCAAAUGAGUACACAACCCAACCGUCAGAAAGUACUGCUGCAAUGUGCCUCUGCCUAAGUUCUACAAAAAAUUCAGCACAUACCAGACGCAAGAUAAAUUACAGCAAGGUUGAAUAUCAUCAUAAAACUGGCAGAUGCAAAGAGUAUAGUUACUCUUCCUGUGUAGUGUUUAGGCACUAACAGUCAGGAUCUACUUUGCACGUUCAUUUCUCGUGUCCUAAAGCUACGUCAUGUUAACUUGGUUCGAUUUGCAUGUCACAGACGUUGAACUAAAUGCAUAACCCUAGAUGGAAGCAGCAAUGCUUGGGCUGUCGCUGAGCUCACCAAGAGGAUUUUAGCAUG
rnacentral:lncRNA from 1 species